rnacentral:lncRNA from 1 species
UAUGAAUUUAAGACUAAGUCCUAAAAAAUUGCAGGCAAACUAUCAAAAUUAUUUUCUAAGCCUUCAUUUAAAUCCUAAAUUGUGUCCCAGAGACAAAUCCUCAUUUAGAGUCUAAAGAGGAAAUUUUGAACCCAGAAGCCAAGAAUAAAAAUCGCAAGCAUAGUAUUAGAUUCUAAACGAAGGAGAUGCCUUUUUUCUAUUACUUCAUAAUAAACAAAGUAACAGGGUUAUCAUAGCAAAGCAACAUAAUAAAGCAAGUAACAGGGUAUCAUAGCACUUUGAACAUCUGUCUAAUCCCCAUAAAUUAAUCACAGCUUUGACAACAGAAUUUGAAACUAAUAGGAAAGACAGACUAGUAACAAACUCUAAACAAAGCAUUAAAAUAAUUUAAAAUAAAUACACUGUAACAAUUAAAAUUUUUUUAAGUUUGGUUUCGUUAAAGCAGACAUGACACAACUGUAUAUUUUUAUACAAAACAUGCUUUAAAAUGAUCACUUCUAAAUUAAUUGUCAUUUUUUAUACUAAUUUCUUCACAAAGCAAGACCUAAUUGUAUUGUGUACAGCCUUUCUAAAUCUCACACAGAGAAGACUUCCAAACUUGAUGGGGGUUGAAGUCAUUCUACACUAAAAUAGACUCAAGUUUCUUCAUUGACUUACAUCAAACCAUUAAAAAAAGAAAUCCAAUUCUAUUCUAGGAAGAGUUUUCCUAGUGAAGCUAUGU